AGCAGCCGCGGCAAUUCCAGCUCCAAUAGCGUAUAUUAAAGUUGUUGCAGUUAAAAAGCUCGUAGUUGAAUUUUAGGCCUGGCCGGGCGGUCCGUCUUUGGCGAGUACUGUCCUGUUGUCGGGUCUUCCUUCUGGUGAACCAGUAUGCCCUUUAUUGGGUGUGCCGGGGAGCCAGGACCAUUACCUUGAAAAAAUUAGAGUGUUUAAAGCGGGCUAUUGCUUGAAUAGAUUAGCAUGGAAUAAUAGAAUAGGACGUUGUGGUUCUAUUUUGUUGGUUUCUAGGACCACCGUAAUGAUUAAUAGGGAUAGUUGGGGGCAUUAGUAUUCAAUUGUCAGAGGUGAAAUUCUUGGAUUUAUUGAAGACUAACUAUUGCGAAAGCAUUUGCCAAGGAUGUUUUCAUUAAUCAAGAACGAAAGUUAGGGGAUCGAAGACGAUCAGAUACCGUCGUAGUCUUAACCAUAAACUAUGCCGACUAGGAAUCGGGCGACGUUAUUUUCACGACUCGCUCGGCGCCUUAUG
rnacentral:rRNA from 1 species